rnacentral:lncRNA from 1 species
ACAUAUGCAUUAAGGCAGGAACUGGCAGGCCUCAGGGUACGCCAACUAUAGGACUCGUGCUUCUCGUACGCUGGGCUAUAAUCUAUGAAACUGAGCUCCAGAGCCAGCCAAUCACUUAGCUCCUCAUAACAAGUCUAACUGGCUCUGGAAAGCUGAAAGGGCUGCACUGGAACAACACAGAUGAGAUAUUCUACACAUUAAUCUACUUAUCUGGAAUCACUUUGCCUCUAAAGGCCAGAGAAAAAUCACAGCUUCCUUGUCGGAGGGGAAAAGGACAGGUGAUCUGGGGAAAACGCAGCUACACCUGGAGCAAGGUCUCUUCCCGGCUUGGCAAUCUCAGCUGUGCCGGCGCUACGGGACCCGAGCCGUCCCAGAAACCAAAGGGCAGGCACGGCAGCAAACGCCUGAGUGUUCACUUCCACCUUCCACCCUUUCACUAUGAAGGACCCUCACCAGAUGGUGGCACCAUGCUCUCGGACUUCCCAGCCUCCAGAACUAAAACAAUAUGGCCCAGUUCCUGGCUUUUGAAGAACUAGAGAAAAUCAUCAUCAUUGGUGCCUCCAAGGCUCUUUGGUUGGUUCUGCAAUCAUAGGAACCCUUACCUGGUCUCCUGAGACAUUCUCCUCUCUCCACACCAUAGUACAACACCACCCACACACCUGAUGGCAGAGCUUUUAGGGACGGGUAAAUUGAAGCAAAAAGCAGACAAGUUCUAUGGGAUUUGCUGGCAUUGAUUUCCCAGGAUGGCAAAGUGCUAAGAACUAAACCUUUAAAGCUAACAAAAUGUACUGAUGUCUUUGCAAAGUAUCCAAGACCAACAAGAAAGUAAUUUCCCACCUCACCCUACCACCACCCAGAAAAGGAGCACAGAGAUGGGGAAGAGAGUGGCUGCAUCUGGCAUCCAGCCA